UCUAAUGCAGGUAAAAACAAAGAUGGCAGACAAUGCAAGUUCACUCACAGCCUGUGGGGAAGAGGACACGUGUUUGACCGAGGAACACGGGAAUGGACUCAGGAAAUCGUGAACUGCGUCAUGUGUGUUCGAACUCCAUCUGUUCAGAGACUUGGUGCAUUCUGAACAUAACUGCAAUGUUCUGCAUAUCCAGAGGUGUUACAAGGAUCGAGCAGUGGCUUCACUACUGAAAAAUAUCUGACUGCUGCACUGCUGCCGCUGCUGCUGCACAAUUCUUCACCCAUGGCUUCACACAGAUCAAAUUUAACAUGAUUUUCAUAUUGUCUGAUUUCUAUCUCUUUGAGGAGUGGAACGAAUACACGUCGACACAAGCCAGUUCAUCUGUUUGAACGAUCUACGGCGGCUGCCUAGAACAUAUUGCUCAAUGCAUGCUAAAACUGGCUUCGAGAUUAUGAUUAAAAUCCAAUAUUGUGCAUGUUUCCCAUGUUAAAUUUGCAGAAUAACAAUUUUAGAUCUUGAAUUGGCAGCAGAUAAUACAAAUGCAGCCUGUGGGGAAAUAGAGCCAUUUGCUCAGGAAUAGUGCAGGCAGCUCCAGGGUAUGGAACAAAUAUGUGUUUGAAGCUUUUAUAUUUCUGCGCAUGGGUUUGAACAGUAGUGUUACGGGCUAUGAGGAUGCACCGGAGUUCAAACCUUCAAGGUGAAAGCGGGUUUCCGCUCCAAAGUAAAGGCAAAACUGUUCAAACCUAGCAAGGAGGCAAGAUGCUGGUUCCUCAUCUAUGUCCUUGUGGUACAAGAAAAGAACUCCUCCUGACCUUUCUGCACAAAAAUCCUAUAAUUUUGAUUAUAAAGUUUAUUUCUUUCCACUAUAUAUGUUGUCUGUUAUUUCCAUCUGUAGCCGGGAGGCUUUGUGGAAGGCUGAGUGUGCACAUUUGUCAGUGAGGAAAUUAUGGGCUGGAUGGGAGACGGAAGCUGGGUUUGCGUUGCUGUCUACGUGUGUGUACAUGUGUAUGGGAGUUGUGUACUUUCGCUCAACGGCGCGCUAGACACCGUAUUUGAUCAUGCAUUUCAUAAUCAUUAGCUCGGGCCUUGGCAGUGGCGUCGGCCUCUCGCAGGAGUUCACUCUUGCUGCAGUUGUUUAUCUGGCUGUGCUGCUGCAGACAGCUGUAAAUAAAUGAAGAAGGAGUAACUCCUGAGGGAGUGUGGGGACAGUCGCGCUGGGAUUUGCUGACUAGUUUUGUUAUGGUACACUCGCUUCUGCAUUUGUUUAUUUCUUUAUUCAUAAAAGGUGCCGUUUUUAUCCAUGUUUCAUUUAUUCAUUCAUCACGCCACAACUUCCUCUUACAUUAAUACCUGUCAUGAUAAUAGAGUUUUCCUUGAUUAAUCUUUCACCCGUGUUUUUCGUUACAGUCGGUAUUGCAGCAGCACCCUACUUAUUUAAUUUGAGAAACGAUCUGAAAGCAAAAAAAACAGCAUAAUAAAUGUUUUCUCCUUUGGGACGCUGGUAUGGGCGACAUCCAUCUUUCUGGAGCUGCAACGCCCCCUACCUGCUGGAUGCCACACAUACAGAGAGAGGAGGAGGCUGGAGACUGACCAGAGCGUAGCAGCGUCAUCAGCUUAACAAUGCAUCUUCAUGCAAAAAUGCGCAUCUUCAUGCAAAAAACACUGGAUUGCAUUCCAGAACUUCCUUUCGUUUCACCACUUAUACAACAAUAAAGAGGACAGCGUCUCUAUCCGCGCUCAAAUGGU